CAGUCAUUAUUAGUGUCGUCCAGAUAACUCUCUCUCUUCUUCCUUGAGCCGAGUCUGAGCCUCUUUCGCUGUGUUUCCAGACAUGGGGAAGAAGAUGAAGAAUCCAGGAAAAAGGCAAAGAGAAAGCAGCGAAAGCUGAGGAAAAGAUUGCUCGCAGAGAGACCAGAAGCUCUCACCUGACGAUGACAUCGAUGCCAUUUUGGUACAUGGGGCAAAGGAUUCUGCAUGACAGAUUAGUCCAUGGAUCAAAAAUGAAAAAUUCAUCUGGUCACUUAUGUUUCCCAAACAUAAAGCCGAUUAGUGAUUACUGGAAUAUAUGUCUCUGAGACAUUUGAUUAAUACUGUAGAGAUUGGAAUGUAAAAUUUUAAAAUCUAUAUAGUUGAUGUCAUGUUUAUUUACCUAUCAUCACAUUUGGUGUUGAAUUGAUCAGAUCUGGUAUGGUUCAAGCAAAACUUUCUGUACUCAGCUUGACUAGAUUAGCCUUCCGGUGAUUAAAUAUAUGCCUUACUAUUAAAUCUAAAUUAGCUCUAAAAAUACUUAGUUUGUUUUUGUUAAGAGCGUAAUGAGGAAGGAAACUAGUAAGGAGGUGAUGAUGACACAACACAACUGCAAGCACUUUCAGAACUUUUGAUCACAUGGGCUGCUCUAACUUCAUGAAGUCCUUCAGAGUGGAAGAAUCUCAUUUGCUAGGAAAGAGCGCAUUCAAGGCUCGGAUAAGGAGGAGAAAAAUCUAGCAGCAGAACGAGCCUGGCCCCAACAAAAUCCCUGAAAAGCAGCCCUUGAUGGAUGUUCACAGCAUAAUCCUCAGGAUAUGCCAUUUGUGCUUACUGGUUUAUUCCAUCUCUUGAAGUCUUUGAGCCCUUAUAUAACUUGUGCGGGGCCAUCGUUGAAACACAAGCAGAAGCAGCUAUACAUACUAGAAGAAGUAUACUUUUCAAAUAAGCAAAGCAGUCAUAGGGCUUCUCUUUCUUGGCAGGCACUGGUGACUGAUGCAGCUACAAAUGUACAAUCACUUUCAUUGACCUGCCAAAGAAGAGUUGCCCUACGAUUGCUUUUGGCUUAAUGAAAUUUGCAGCCUGCCUGAUCAUGCAGUAGAGCCCUGUCAUGCAAAACAUAUACGGCAAGGUAUAAUAUUAGGCUAGGCUAGCCAGGGAUAUACGUAGGUUUUGUCAUAUUUGAAAAUAAUGGUAGAGGUAGAGCUAUAAUACUGAAGUUAUUUUUGUUGUACAAAGUUGUUCUGCUUUGUGACUGAGCAAGCAGGCAAAUUGACUUUACCAUGUGGCUUUGCACGAUGCGGGGAAGUAGUGUGAUUUUAUAUGGGUGGAAUGGAAGGUGGAAGCCAUAUAUACAAGCAAUUACUAAUUUCCCUGAUCCCUUUUGUUAGUUGUGGCCGUAUAGCUUUGUCUGAGAGGAUGUUCUUGCUAUGUGCUUAAACAGUGCAUAUAAAAAUAAAACAAUUCUGUUUAAAAGACCAGUAAGUUUCUUUUCUACAGCUAUUUUUGACACCCAAGGGAAGUCUAGCCGACCAUUUCCGUGAGCUGCACCUUGGAAAUUAUUAUUCAGAUGAGUAUUUGAAUUACAGUUUGAAUCAAGAAAACUCUUUGGGUGGCAAGGUAAAUACUUAAAUUUAAAGCAUCUGAGCUACUUAGAUCUAAGCAACAAUGAUUUUGGAGGAAUACAGAUUCCUAGUUUCUUUAGUUGUCUUAAAAGUUUAAGAUAUCUUAACCUCUCAGACUCAAAGUUCGCUGGAAUAAUUCCGCAUCAAUUGGGAAAUCUCUCGAGUCUACGCUGUCUAGGACUCCGGAGUAAAAGCUACUACGUACUGAAUGAAGUUUGGGAAUCUCCAAUGGCUUUCUGGUCUUUCGAUCA